GACGUAGGAGGCGAGCGUUGUUCGGAUUCAUUGGGCGUAAAGGGUGUCGUAGGUGGCGCGUAAGUCGGGUGUGAAAUUCGUGCUUAACUCCGAAACUGCAUUCGAUACUGCGUGCUUGAGGACUGGAGAGGAGACUGGAAUUUACGGUGUAGCGGUGAAAUGCGUAGAUAUCGGGAGGAACACCCUGUGGCGAAGGCGGCCCCCUGGUUGGAUACUGACGCUGAUACGCGAAAGCGUGGGGAGCAAACAGG
rnacentral:rRNA from 1 species